GGCGACGACGAUGGCGACGACGACGAGGGUACCUGUGGCGGCUGCUAUGGGCGUCGAGGACGUUGCACUGAACCGCUUCGCCCCGUGAGAACGACGGGAGCACAGAAAGAACGAUGGAACGAGCGAAUACGUGUUCCUGCUGUUAAACCAAAGAGCUCCUUUCACCGUCCUUUUUAAGAAGGAAACACGCGUGGAAGGAUAAAGAAAAAGAUCUCGCUGCGAGGGACAAAACGAGAAGGACGCGUGGCUCGUCGAGGCGUAGGCGAGCGCACGAGUUACCCUUUUCAACCUUCGACCCAAAGUAUCAACUCAUCUCUCUCUCUCUCUCUCUCUCUCUCUCUCUCUCUCUCUCUCUCUCUCUCUCUCUCUCUCUCUCGAGGAGUUCACGUUACAAGAUAUACGCCACAUGACAAAAAUUUUCCCUUUCCCAUAGGAAUUGCGAGAUGUAACGAGCCUCUUUAUGGUCGAGAGAUUGGAGCAUGAAAAAAAUUCAUCUGCGAGUAAUCCCGAUGCGUCUGAACUCGAUUUCAACAGAAAAAUGAUAAAAAAAAAGAAAAAGAAAAAAGAAAGAAAGAAAAGAAAAAAGGAAAAAAAGAGAAAAAAAAAGAAAAGAAACGAAAAUAAAUCGAUUAUGGAAGAAAAAUAUCUUUUCGAAUAUUUCUCAAAAAUUUCGAUCUAUAUUUUCGUCCUAUCUAUUAUUUUAAUUUACGUUCUAUAGUUGUUAAUGAGAAUCUCUGCUUUUUAGGAAUGACAUCGUACGCUUCUCUUCAUUGUCAGUCUCCCUUAUAUGUGAACACUUGAUAUAUAUUUCGACGCGACGACGACCACGACGACGAUGACCGUGCACUACUUGGUAUCGCGCUCACACGUAACUGAAUUACCGUCGUUGGUUAAACAAAUCUCUUCUCGGUAAGAGAACUUCCACGAAAACAGUGCUCGACAUUUAUUUUCGGUGACUUCGACCAGCUCCAUAGAAAUGACUUGAUAAUGGACAUCAAAUGUAUGCAGCAUCCUUGAAGAAUAAUAGAUCAUCGGAAUGGGACUUACCUGAAAUAGAGAAAAAAAAGAAAAAAUCUUAUUAGUCAUCAAAUUCUAAAUCAAACAGGCGGAGAGAGAGAGAGAGAGAGAGAGAGAGAGAGAGAGAGAGAGAGAGAGAGAGAGAGAGAGAGAGAGAGAGACAU